rnacentral:rRNA from 1 species
AAAUUGAAGAGUUUGAUCAUGGCUCAGAUUGAACGCUGGCGGCAGGCCUAACACAUGCAAGUCGAACGGUAACAGGAAGCAGCUUGCUGCUUCGCUGACGAGUGGCGGACGGGUGAGUAAUGUCUGGGAAGCUGCCUGAUGGAGGGGGAUAACUACUGGAAACGGUGGCUAAUACCGCAUAACGUCGCAAGACCAAAGAGGGGGACCUUCGGGCCUCUUGCCAUCAGAUGUGCCCAGAUGGGAUUAGCUAGUUGGUGAGGUAACGGCUCACCAAGGCGACGAUCCCUAGCUGGUCUGAGAGGAUGACCAGCCACACUGGAACUGAGACACGGUCCAGACUCCUACGGGAGGCAGCAGUGGGGAAUAUUGCACAAUGGGCGCAAGCCUGAUGCAGCCAUGCCGCGUGUAUGAAGAAGGCCUUAGGGUUGUAAAGUACUUUCAGCGGGGAGGAAGGUGUUGUGGUUAAUAACCGCAGCAAUUGACGUUACCCGCAGAAGAAGCACCGGCUAACUCCGUGCCAGCAGCCGCGGUAAUACGGAGGGUGCAAGCGUUAAUCGGAAUUACUGGGCGUAAAGCGCACGCAGGCGGUCUGUCAAGUCGGAUGUGAAAUCCCCGGGCUCAACCUGGGAACUGCAUUCGAAACUGGCAGGCUUGAGUCUUGUAGAGGGGGGUAGAAUUCCAGGUGUAGCGGUGAAAUGCGUAGAGAUCUGGAGGAAUACCGGUGGCGAAGGCGGCCCCCUGGACAAAGACUGACGCUCAGGUGCGAAAGCGUGGGGAGCAAACAGGAUUAGAUACCCUGGUAGUCCACGCCGUAAACGAUGUCUACUUGGAGGUUGUGCCCUUGAGGCGUGGCUUCCGGAGCUAACGCGUUAAGUAGACCGCCUGGGGAGUACGGCCGCAAGGUUAAAACUCAAAUGAAUUGACGGGGGCCCGCACAAGCGGUGGAGCAUGUGGUUUAAUUCGAUGCAACGCGAAGAACCUUACCUGGUCUUGACAUCCACAGAACUUUCCAGAGAUGGAUUGGUGCCUUCGGGAACUGUGAGACAGGUGCUGCAUGGCUGUCGUCAGCUCGUGUUGUGAAAUGUUGGGUUAAGUCCCGCAACGAGCGCAACCCUUAUCCUUUGUUGCCAGCGGUUAGGCCGGGAACUCAAAGGAGACUGCCAGUGAUAAACUGGAGGAAGGUGGGGAUGACGUCAAGUCAUCAUGGCCCUUACGACCAGGGCUACACACGUGCUACAAUGGCGCAUACAAAGAGAAGCGACCUCGCGAGAGCAAGCGGACCUCAUAAAGUGCGUCGUAGUCCGGAUUGGAGUCUGCAACUCGACUCCAUGAAGUCGGAAUCGCUAGUAAUCGUGGAUCAGAAUGCCACGGUGAAUACGUUCCCGGGCCUUGUACACACCGCCCGUCACACCAUGGGAGUGGGUUGCAAAAGAAGUAGGUAGCUUAACCUUCGGGAGGGCGCUUACCACUUUGUGAUUCAUGACUGGGGUGAAGUCGUAACAAGGUAACCGUAGGGGAACCUGCGGUUGGAUCACCUCCUUA